rnacentral:rRNA from 1 species
AUUGAACGCUGGCGGCAUGCCUUACACAUGCAAGUCGAACGGCAGCACGGGGGCAACCCUGGUGGCGAGUGGCGAACGGGUGAGUAACAUAUCGGAACAUACCCUAGAGUGGGGGAUAACGUAGCGAAAGUUACGCUAAUACCGCAUACGAUCUAAGGAUGAAAGUGGGGGAUCUUCGGACCUCAUGCUCAUGGAGUGGCCGAUAUCUGAUUAGCUAGUUGGUGAGGUAAAGGCUCACCAAGGCGACGAUCAGUAGCUGGUUUGAGAGAACGACCAGCCACACUGGAACUGAGACACGGUCCAGACUCCUACGGGAGGCAGCAGUGAGGAAUUUUGGGACAAUGGGGGCAACCCUGAUCCAGCAAUGCCGCGUGAGUGAAG